rnacentral:lncRNA from 1 species
CCAGCUUUUCCUCGCCAGGAGCCCGGCUUCCACUCCCCACGUGGGAAUAGUCCAUCCCCAGAUUCGCCAUUGUCCACCCCUUGCCCUGCCCUCCUUUGCCUUCCACCCCCACCAUCCAGAUGGAGACCCUGAGAAGGGCCCUGGGAGCUCUGGGAAUUUGGAGUGACCAAAGGUGUGCCCUGUACACAGGCGAGGACCCUGCACCUGGAUGGGGGUCCCUGUGGGUCACACUGGGGGCGGGGGCGGGGGCUGUGGGAGUAAAAUACUGAAUAUAUUGAGUUUUUCAGUUUUGAAAAAAAUCUCAUGUUUGAAUCGUAACAUGCACUGCAUAGACACCACUGUAUGCGUUUACAGAAGCCUGUGAGUGAACGGGGUGGUGGUCAGUGCGGGCCCAUGGCCUGGCUGGGCCUGGGAGGUUUCUGAUGCUGUGAGGCAGGAGGGGAAGGAGGGUAGGGGAUAGACAGUGGGAGCCCCCACCCUGGAAGACAUAACAGUAAGUCCAGGCCCGAAGGGCAGCAGGGAUGCUGAGGGCCCAGCUUGGGCAGCGGGGAUGAUGGAGGGCCCGGCCGGGGUGGCAGGGAUGAUGGGGGCCCCAGCUGGGGUGGCAGGGGUGAUGGUGGGGGGCUGGUCUGGGUGGCGGGGAAGAUGGGGAAGCCUGGCUGGGCCCCCUCCUCCCCUGCCUCCCACCUGCAGCCGUGGAUCUGGAUGUGCUUCCCUGGUGCACAUCCUCUGGGCCAUCAGCUUUCAUGGAGGUGGGGGGCAGGGGCAUGACACCAUCCUGUAUAAAAUCCAGGAUUCCUCCUCCUGAGCCACCCAACUCAGGUUGAAAGUCACAUUCUGCCUCUGGCCAUUCUCUUAAGAGUAGACCAGGAUUCUGAUCUCUGAAGGGUGGGUAGGUUGGGGCAGUGGAGGGUGUGGACACAGGGUGGGGCUGGUGAUGCUCUCUCAUCCUCUUAUCAUCUCCCAGUCUCAUCUCUCAUCCUCUUAUCUCCCAGUCUCAUCUCUCAUCCUCUUAUCUCCUAGUCUCAUCCAGACUUACCUCCCAGGGCGGGUGCCAGGCUCGCAGUGGAGCUGGACAUGCGUCCUUCCUCAGGCAGAAGGAACUGGAAGGAUUGCAGAGAACAGGAGGGGCGGCUCAGAGGGACGCAGUCUUGGGGUGAAGAAACAGCCCCUCCUCAGAAGUUGGCUUGGGCCACAUGAAACCGAGGGCCCGGCGUGAGUGGCUCCAGAGCCUUCCAGCGGGUCCCUGGUGGGGCCUUAUGGUAUGGCCGGGUCCUACUGAGUGCACCUUGGACAGGGCUUCUGGUUUGAGUGCAGCCCGGAUGUGCCUGGUGUCGGGGUGGGGGCUUAUGGCCACUGGAUAUGGCCUCAUUUAUUGCUGCUGCUUCAGAGAAUGUCUGAGUGACCGAGCCUAAUGUGUUUAUGGUGGGCCCAAGUCCACAGACUGUGUCGUAAAUGCACUCGUCAGGCCAUUGUUCAGUUAUCCAUCUUCUACAAAGCUCCAGAUUCCUGUUUCUCUGGGUGUUUUUUGUUGAAAUUUUACUCAGGAUUACUUAUAUUUUUUGCUAAAGUAUUAGACCCUUAAAAAAGGUAUUUGCUUUGAUAUGGCUUAACUCACUAAGCACCUACUUUGUCUGUUUUUAUUUAUUAAUUAUUAUUAUUAUUAUUAUUAGAGAUGGCGUCUACUCUGUCACCCAGGUUGUUAGUACAGUGGCACAGUCGUGGCUCGCUGUAGCCGCAAACCCCCAGGCUCAAGUGAUCCUCCGGCCUCAGCUUCCCAGCGUGCUGGGAUUACAGGUGUGAGCCACUGCCCUUGCCUGGCACUUUUAAAAACCACUAUGUAAGGUCAGGCCCGGUGGCUUCCACACCUGUCAUCCCAGUAGUUUGGGAAGCUGAGGCAGAAGGAUUGUCUGAGGCCAGGAGUUUGAGACCAGCAUGGGUAACAUAGGGAGACCCCAUCUCUACAAAAAAUGCAAAAAGUUAGCCGGGCGUGGGGUCCAGCAUCUGUAGUCCCAGCUGCUCGGGAGGCUGAGUGGGAGGAUUGCUUGAGCCCGGGAGGUCGUGGCUGCAGUGAGCUGUGAUUGUACCAUUGCACUCCAGCCUGGGC